rnacentral:rRNA from 1 species
CUAACCUGCUAAAUAGUACGAUUGCAAUUUUUAUGUGGACCUCUGUCCUUGUGCCUCUGGUACUUGGAUAGAACCACAUAAGCAGGUGAAACUUCUUAGAGGAACUGGCGCCCGAAAAGGCGCACGAGAAAGAGCAAUAACAGGUCUGUGAUGCCCUAAGAUGUCCGGGGCCGCACGCGUGCUACAAUGACGAUGCUACUGAGCAUGAUUAACUUGUCCGAAAGGAUUGGUGAAACUGUUCAAUCAUCGUCGUGACUGGGAUUGGGGUUUGUAAUUAUCCCCCAUGAACCAGGAAUUCCUAGUAAGCACAAGUCAUAAGCUUGUGCUGAUUACGUCCCUGCCCUUUGUACACACCGCCCGUCGCUACUACCGAUUGAAUGGUUUAGCAAGGACAUUCGAUUGAGCCCUUGCGGUUUCGGCUGCUUGGGAUUGAGAAGAUGUCCGAACUUGAUCAUUUAGAGGAAGUAAAAGUCGUAACAAGGUUUCCGUAGGUGAACCUGCGGAAGGAUCAUUA